AACGAACGCUGGCGGCAUGCCUAACACAUGCAAGUCGAACGAGACCUUCGGGCCUAGUGGCGCACGGGUGCGUAACGCGUGGGAACCUGCCCUUAGGUUCGGAAUAACUCCCCGAAAGGGGUGCUAAUACCGGAUAAUGUCUUCGGACCAAAGAUUUAUCGCCUUUGGAUGGGCCCGCGUUGGAUUAGCUAGUUGGUAGGGUAAAAGCCUACCAAGGCGACGAUCCAUAGCUGGUCUGAGAGGAUGCUCAGCCACACUGGAACUGAGACACGGCCCAGACUCGUACGGGAGGCAGCAGUGGGGAAUAUUGGACGAUGGACGAAAGCCUGAUCCAGCCAUGCCGCGUGAGUGAUGAAGGCCUUAGGGUUGUAAAGCUCUUUUACCCGGGAUGAUAGUGACAGUACCGGGAGAAUAAGCUCCGGCUAACUCCGUG
rnacentral:rRNA from 1 species